UCUGGUUCGCGAAGUUUAGGGCAAAGUGGUUCUCUGUCUCGAUGGGUUGGAUGGAGGGGAACAGUUGGAGGUGUACUCAAGGGAAGCCAGCAUCUAUGCGAAAUCGAAGAUCCAGACUGAGUUGCGGCAGAGAAUCGUCAAUGAUAUAGUGGACCUUUUGAUGAGGCAUUUGCCGGUUGAUUUUCCUGUGCAUGAACUUCAGAAUGUUAUUAUUCGGUUCGAGGAGAUGCAUACUACAGUUGCAAAUAAGGACGAGUAUUUCAGAAAAAUAUCUCAAAGACUUCAGAUAAUUGUGAGUGAGAUUCAACAUCCCAUAUGGCUUGGAGAUAUCAACCAUCCUAUUAACUAGAAUCCUGUAUAUCCAAGCAUGUAGCGUAGAAGUUUUCACUUUCAUCAAGGUUAGGGAUCCUUGACAUGGAUGUGAAUAAUUUUUGCUGGAAAUCAUAGAUCUUUUUUGUUUCCAUUUUUUGUUUUUUGCCCUUUGUAAUCUAAAGCAAAAGGUUUUCUGAGGAUUGAAAGAUUGAUUCUUGUAGGACUCAAAAGCACUAUAGGGGAUGGGAUGAAUAUCGAUCA